rnacentral:rRNA from 1 species
GACGAACGCUGGCGGCGUGCUUAACACAUGCAAGUCGAACGGAAAGGCCCUGCUUGCAGGGUACUCGAGUGGCGAACGGGUGAGUAACACGUGGGUGAUCUGCCCUGCACUUCGGGAUAAGCUUGGGAAACUGGGUCUAAUACCGGAUAGGAGCCAUCUUUAGUGUGGUGGUUGGAAAGUUUUUUCGGUGUAGGAUGAGCUCGCGGCCUAUCAGCUUGUUGGUGGGGUAAUGGCCUACCAAGGCGGCGACGGGUAGCCGGCCCGAGAGGGUGUACGGCCACAUUGGGACUGAGAUACGGCCCAGACUCCUACGGGAGGCAGCAGUGGGGAAUAUUGCACAAUGGGCGCAAGCCUGAUGCAGCGACGCCGCGUGGGGGAUGAAGGCCUUCGGGUUGUAAACUCCUUUCGCUAGGGACGAAGCUUUUUGUGACGGUACCUAGAUAAGAAGCACCGGCUAACUACGUG